AUACGUAGGUGGCAAGCGUUGUCCGGAAUUAUUGGGCGUAGAGCGCGCGCAGGUGGUUCCUUAAGUCUGAUGUGAAAGCCCCCGGCUCAACCGGGGAGGGUCAUUGGAAACUGGGGAACUUGAGUGCAGAAGAGGAUAGUGGAAUUCCAAGUGUAGCGGUGAAAUGCGUAGAGAUUUGGAGGAACACCAGUGGCGAAGGCGACUGUCUGGUCUGUAACUGACACUGAGGCGCGAAAGCGUGGGGAGCAAACAGGAUUAGAUACCCUGGUAGUCCACGCCGUAAACGAUGAGUGCUAAGUGUUGGGGGGUUUCCGCCCCUCAGUGCUGCAGCUAACGCAUUAAGCACUCCGCCUGGGGAGUACGGUCGCAAGACUGAAACUCAAAGGAAUUGGCGGGG
rnacentral:rRNA from 1 species